UCAAGAAACUUCACAGAAUCCCACAGGAAAGAAAACAGGAACUCGCUGGAAUGCUCAUAACUUGCAAAGUGAAUUGCUCGGGCUUUAUGUUUUUUUUUGACGAGGCCUCCCGACUCCCUAAAGAGCUCCCAGAAUGGAACAAUGGAGUUAAAGCGCCACAAAAAGUACAGCCCGUCCUCCCUCAGAUUCCAAAUGUUCUGGAGCAUUCCAUGUGAAGUGAGAGUACUUAAUUCGCUUACUCCGUUCAUCCUCAAGCUAUUGACGAUGUAUAUGAGGAUCAGUUAUGAGCGUCGUGGUGAAUUCUGCCUGCACAGACAAACGGAGGACCCAGGAUCUGGGCAUCAUUGGCAAAUCCAGUACUUGCUGCCAAUCCCUAGUUGCCUUUGAACAGAGUGGCUGCCUCAGCCAUUUCAGAGGGCACUUAACUGUCAACCACAUUGCUGUGGGUCUGGAGUCACAUGUAGACCAGACCAGAUAAUGCCUGACUUGUUCUUUCCAGCACUUCCUGCUUUUAUCACAGCACUUACCUGCAUAAGUGAAGAGGCACUGAGGGUAACUACUUGACCCAGACAAGGACAAGACUGACAAGUUGCUCUAGGCAAGAUGGAGCAAUGAUGUGUUGACCGUAUUAAUAAAGGCAUUAAACAUUAUUGCAUUCAGUACUGUGACGUCUGUAAUGGGCCUCCUCACCUUGAUGAGAAUAAGUAAAUAUUGAGGACCACAGGAAAAGUCUAAUCAGAGGAAAGAGUUAUUGGAAUAUGUAUGAAUGCUACAAGGAAGAAAGUUUGCAGCAAACCAAAGUUCGCACUGACUUAUGUAGCACUCGCAAAUCACAGCCGAAGUGAAGUGCCUAGGAGAAAUGUACAUAAAAGGACUCCAGAUGUGCAUUCUGGAAAACUUUUGAAUUACAUGCUGAGGAGAAUGUUCUGUCAAUGAGAUAGAAGUCUGAAAGAGGACAGACAUAUUCUCAGCCCAAGGGUAAAGCAAGAAACUGAAUAAUAUCAAAUACUGGUGCCCAAAUACUGGCUAUAUGCUGUACACCAGAAAUAUGAAACACUGUUGAUGUGCUACAUAUGAGGAUGUACAAACACUGUCAAUGUACUGUUCACUCAAAAUUUCUAAACACCGGUGAUGUGUUUAACACUAAUGAUGUCCAGUUAUGGACAGAGGAGAGAUAAAUUAAAGGAUUUACUUUUUUGCUUUCU